rnacentral:lncRNA from 1 species
GCCAAAGAAGAGCUUACACAACCACAAAUAUGGGAAACUAUUGUUGAUGUGAUUUAGGUGUACUGACAUCACAGUCAAAGUGCAUACAUAUUAUAGAAAAUGCUCUAGAAAGAAUUUAAGAAACAAUAUUGCCAUGGUCUUUCUGUGAAAGUGCAAGCACCAGGUUGCUUAAUAGCAGAACAUUUGCACCACCUGUAGUUCCUUUUAUUUUUUUCUUACAUCUUUCAUAGUUGUGAGUCAUCUUCCUGCAAGGAAUGCUUAUAAGAACUACCUACUUGAAUUUUAUUUUGUCUUGCCAUGCGAUAUUAGCUGUUUUUGUUACCUAUAAUUUGCUAACCUCUACCAUUUACAAGGCUUCAAUAUGUUACAGCGGACUGGCACAGGAAUAAAAAAAAUGUCACUCAGUCUUUCACUGUUACCUUAUUUUGUGACAUAUUCUAUCCCUGUUCUUGGUAAAUUUGCCAUGUCGCUUGAGAAAACUAAUCUGUCAGCAUAACUUAAGUCAUGUUUUUUUCCUUUGUCUUCUUAAAUUUGCUGCUGUUAAAUGUCGUGUCGGAUAGCUGUCUCACGAAUUAAGAAUUGCUGACUUAUUUUGUUGUUUAAAAAAGCUAUUUUAAUAAAGGAAACGUUAUGGCUGUUUACUUUAUUACUUACAUUAACUACUUAAUCUGCUUACAAUUUACAGCUGCUAAACUUGUGUGAAUUCAAGAUGUUUUAUGAAGUUGCUCUACAGGGUGAUCAUUUUUAAAUUUUAUAAAAUUUUUAGAAAUAGCUUGCUGUAGAUUACAUAAUUCUAGUCCUUGAGUUUGGAUUAUUCAGAGAGGCGGACAUUACUUGCACGAGAAAUUGAAACACAUAUUGACCUAAUCAAUGAAAAUCACUAAUCACCUACUUAAUUAAUUACUUUACGGUACAUAUUGCAAUUUACAAAUUUUAAUCGGUGAGCAUGCAAGGCAUAUCCUCACGGAAUAAAUUUCCAGAAUGACACCAAUUUGGAGAUAUGCGCCAUUGGACUCGCUGUAAAAAAUGCACUCUUGUUCCACUUACUUUUUUAACAGCACAUUCUUUCAUGCAUUGAAGCUCAAAACUAACUGGAAUGCCCUUGUAUUUCAUCCCAUACUUUGGGAAAUAAUAUCUCGAAACUGGUGCAAUCCUGGAAAUUCAUUUCAAGUGGAUACGUAUUACAAACUCACCAGCUACAAUGCGUAAAUUGCAAUAUGUGCCGUAAAGUAAUUUGUAAAGAAGUUAAUUAGUAAAUUUAUGUUAAUUAAUUGAAUAUGUAUUUUGUUUUUUUGCGCUAGUAAUGCCCGCCUCUGAAUAAUACUGCUCAAGGACAAAAAUUUUGCUAUCUGCCGCAGGCGAAUUUUAAGAAUUUCAUAAAACUUAAAAAUGAUCACCCUGUAUAUUACUGAGAAGGCUGUUUUCAUCUUUUCAUUGUUAACUAGCCAUAAUUCUAUGUCUGCAGUGAAUAGACAAGUACAGUUGGCCGGCAAGCUUGAGUGUUUUGGUUCCUGUCACUCAAAUAGCAGCUGUCAGCAUGCAAGUGCAAAGCAUUGUGACAGUUUGUUCUCAGCUGCACUGUUACGUACUACUUUUAGUCUUCCAUGAACACGUGUGAUGUUGCUGUUUUAUUAGUCCUAAAAAUAAAUUAUUUGCCGUUUCUUGGUAUUUCUUUGCUUCACUGCCGGAGUUUGACAUUUCACUACAACGUGAAAUGCAGUCCCCAUGCUUUUGGUGCAGGCAGUGUUUUCACACCUGCUGUGCUAAGCAUACAUACUAUGAUUCAGUUGUAGGACAUGGUGGAAACCAAGCAUGCUUACUCAACACUGACUGCUUUUCAGUACUUCUCAUUUUUACAACGUUAUUACUGCUUCUCUAUGGCAACUAGUGCUUUGAGACAAUAUUUGACAUUGCAUCGCCUUUGAUCUCGGCCCAUUCUGCCCAGUGCACUACAUUUGGGAUAAGCCUAUGUUGUACAGAACAGGCUGUAACAUUUCUUCGUCAGAGUACAAUAAAUCAGUCAUCAUGCUAUCGUC